AUGGACAUCAGCAAUACACCUGGACUGUUAUGCCUCAAGGUGCACAAAAUUCUCCCAGUUAGUUUGCAAAGGCAAUGGCUUCAAUUCUGGACUCUUGGCAAGAGGCCCACACUGAUGUGGUCCUGCUUCAAUAUGUGGAUGACCUCCUCCUCUGUGUCCAUGACCUCCCAACUGCUGAACGUGCUUCUAAAGAUCUUCUCUGCUACCUCGCUGAAC